rnacentral:rRNA from 1 species
AACGAACGCUGGCGGCAUGCCUAACACAUGCAAGUCGAACGAGACCUUCGGGUCUAGUGGCGCACGGGUGCGUAACGCGUGGGAACCUGCCUUUAGGUUCGGAAUACCUCAGAGAAAUUUGAGCUAAUACCGGAUGAUGUCUUCGGACCAAAGAUUUAUCGCCUUUAGAUGGGCCCGCGUUGGAUUAGCUGGUUGGUGGGGUAAAGGCCUACCAAGGCGACGAUCCAUAGCUGGUCGGAGAGGAUGAUCAGCCACACUGGGACUGAGACACGGCCCAGACUCCUACGGGAGGCAGCAGUGGGGAAUAUUGGACAAUGGGCGAAAGCCUGAUACAGCAAUGCCGCGUGAGUGAUGAAGGCCUUAGGGUUGUAAAGCUCUUUUACCCGAGAUGAUAAUGACAGUAACGGGAGAAUAAGCUCCGGCUAACUCCGUG